AGCACCAUGGUGGUUGGCAAGAACAAGUGUCUUACUAAAGGUGGCAAAAAAGGAGCCAAGAAGAAGGUGGUUGAUCCAUUUUCCAAGAAAGAUUGCUAUGAUGUGAAAGCACCUGCUAUGUUUAAUAUAAGAAAUAUUGGAAGGACACUAAUCACCAGGACCCAAGGAACCAAAAUUAUAUCUGAUAGCCUCAAGGGUCGUAUGUUUGAAGUGAGUCAAGCUGAUUUGCAGAAUGAUGAAGUUGUAUUUAGAAAAUUCAAGAUGAUUACUGAAGAUGUUCAGGGCAAAAACUGCCUGACUAACUUCUAUGGCAUGGAUCUUACCCAUGACAAAAUGUGUUCCAUGGUCAAAAAGUGGCAGACAAUGAUUGAAACUCAUGUCGAUAUCAAGACUAAUGAUGGCUACUUGUUUAAUCUGUUCUGUGUUGGUUUUACUAAAAAAUACAACAAUCAGAUAUGGAAGACCUCUUAUAUUCAGCACCAACAGGUCCGACAAAUCCCGAAGAAGAUUUGGAAAUCAUGACCUGAGAGGUGCAGACAAAUAACUUGAAAGAAGUGAUCAAUAAAUUUUUUCAAUA